GACGAACGCUGGCGGCGUGCCUAAUACAUGCAAGUUGAACGCUAAAGCUUUGACUGGUGCUUGCACCGACCUAAGUUUUUAGAGUAGCGGACGGGUGAGUAACACGUGGGUAACCUGCCCAUCAGAGGGGGAUAACACUUGGAAACAGGUGCUAAUACCGCAUAACAAUAUCAAUCGCAUGAUAGAUAUUUGAAAGGCGCUUAUGGUGUCACUGAUAGAUGGACCCGCGGUGCAUUAGCUAGUCGGUGGGGUAACGGCCUACCGAGGCGAUGAUGCAUAGCCGACCUGAGAGGGUGAUCGGCCACAUUGGGACUGAGACACGGCCCAAACUCCUACGGGAGGCAGCAGUAGGGAAUCUUCGGCAAUGGACGAAAGUCUGACCGAGCAACGCCGCGUGAGUGAAGAAGGUUUUCGGAUCGUAAAACUCUGUUGUUAGAGAAGAACAGGAGAAGUAGUAACUGGCUUCUUUUUGACGGUAUCUAACCAGAAAGCCACGGCUAACUACGUGCCAGCCGCCGCAGUAAAAC
rnacentral:rRNA from 1 species